UACGAAGGGGGCUAGCGUUGCUCGGAAUCACUGGGCGUAAAGCGCACGUAGGCGGCUUUCUAAGUCAGGGGUGAAAUCCUGGAGCUCAACUCCAGAACUGCCUUUGAUACUGGAGAGCUUGAGUCCGGAAGAGGUGAGUGGAACUCCGAGUGUAGAGGUGAAAUUCGUAGAUAUUCGGAAGAACACCAGUGGCGAAGGCGGCUCACUGGUCCGGUACUGACGCUGAGGUGCGGAAAGCG
rnacentral:rRNA from 1 species